rnacentral:sRNA from 1 species
AAAAUAAAUAAAAACCCAAAUAAACCGGAUAACCACUUUAAUUUUGGACACUUGAUAAAUCAAGUUUUCUGCUUAUUCGUAACUUGAAUUAUUUUGGUUCUUUUUAUAAUAUGGCUCUGAACCAAUGUCCAAUUUUUUUAAGCGAUGUGGGAUACAUAUUAUUUCUUCAUCAAUUGAAUAAUAUAUGUCCGUUUUAAAUUUUUUGAAUU